UGGGGAAUUUUGGACAAUGGGGGAAACCCUGAUCCAGCCAUCCCGCGUGUGCGAUGAAGGCCUUCGGGUUGUAAAGCACUUUUGGCAGGAAAGAAACGUCGCGGGUUAAUACCCCGCGAAACUGACGGUACCUGCAGAAUAAGCACCGGCUAACUACGUGCCAGCAGCCGCGGUAAUACGUAGGGUGCAAGCGUUAAUCGGAAUUACUGGGCGUAAAGCGUGCGCAGGCGGUUCGGAAAGAAAGAUGUGAAAUCCCAGAGCUUAACUUUGGAACUGCAUUUUUAACUACCGGGCUAGAGUGUGUCAGAGGGAGGUGGAAUUCCGCGUGUAGCAGUGAAAUGCGUAGAUAUGCGGAGGAACACCGAUGGCGAAGGCAGCCUCCUGGGAUAACACUGACGCUCAUGCACGAAAGCGUGGGGAGCAAACAGGAUUAGAUACCCUGGUAGUCCACGCCCUAAACGAUGUCAACUAGCUGUUGGGGCCUUCGGGCCUUGGUAGCGCAGCUAACGCGUGAAGUUGACCGCCUGGGGAGUACGGCCGCAAGGUUAAAACUCAAAUGAAUUGACGGGGUCAUAGCUG
rnacentral:rRNA from 1 species